GACGAACGCUGGCGGCGUGCUUAACACAUGCAAGUCGAACGGAAAGGCCCCUUUGGGGGUACUCGAGUGGCGAACGGGUGAGUAACACGUGAGUAACCUGCCCUUGACUUCGGGAUAACUUCAGUAAACUGGGGCUAAUACCGGAUAGGAAUCCUUGCUGCAUGGUGGGGGUUGGAAAGCUUCGGCGGUUUUGGAUGGACUCGCGGCUUAUCAGCUUGUUGGUGGGGUAGUGGCUUACCAAGGCUUUGACGGGUAGCCGGCCUGAGAGGGCGACCGGCCAAAUUGGGACUGAGAGACGGCCCAGACUCGGACGGGAGGAAGCAGGGGGGAAUAUUGAACAAUGGGCGGAAGCCGGAUGCAGCAACGCCGCGGGCGGGAGGACGGACUUAGGGUUGUAAAACGCAUUCAGCAGGGGCGAAGCUUGUGGUGACGGUACCUGCAGAAGAAGCACCGGCUAACUACGUG
rnacentral:rRNA from 1 species